rnacentral:lncRNA from 1 species
UUUUUCAAGCAAUGAAGCAAGAAAAUCUCCAGAGAAGCCUAAGAGCAAAUCAAAGUCAUCUAGAGCUCCCAUUGUGGUCUCUUCCUUCCCGGUCAACUCAAAUCUUUCUUGCUUAUAGCAUGCUGAAAUUUGAAAUGUAGUUGGUUCAAUCAUGGUAUGGACUGAUCUAUAAUUAACGGCAAUGAAGCCAUGGUAUUGAUAGUUGCCUUUGCAAAUGAGCUUAAUGUUCUUAUAUAUCUUGGUGAGUAUAAUUCAAUAAUUUCAUCCGUCUUUUGAAUAAGAUUUAUGGUAUUUUACCCUACUGCAUGCCUUUGCUUUGGUUACCUCCUUGUGUGAACUGCCCAAUGGUCAUAAAGAUCAAUGAGUUUAAGCCUUGUUACGUUUACCCAUGCACCAAUUUGUAAUGUCAUUCACUUUGAAUUAAUUUCUUGGUGUAGACGUAUCAAACAAAAACUCUUUAUAUGAUACAAAAUUAUAGCUCUUAUCAUUUUUAAGACACGAUGAUGGAGGAUGACAUUAUUCACUGCUUGAAGACCAAGCAAAACUUGGGGAAUACUCCUAGAAUUAUCAGGCGCCACACAAGUCAAAAAGUCAUGAAGGAAUAUUGAAAAUGGCUUCCUCAGUCUAAAGUCAAAAGCAGCCACUAGUGUAGGAAACAGGAAGGAAUUUACCAUCUAAUCAAUAUCACAAGCUGGGAAGAUGGGCACAUACCAUCUGGCUUUCCUUGCUAUGCAAGAAAAUUAGCCCAACUUCCAUUUCAAAUUAAACUUCCACUAUAAAUAUGUAGAAUCGUUUUCAUUCAAAGCUCAUUAAUACAAACUCACACUUCAGCUCUUGGCCUCUCAAACCACUUUGUUUAAUUUCUGAAAGCAGAAGAAGGAGAAGGGUGAUUGAUCAACAAUGGUGUUCUCAGCCAUCAUAAGCUGUUUUCUACCAUCAUCAUCGUCAUCUCGGGUGUCUGAUGAUGCUGGUGGGUCAGGCUCAAAGGUGCCUUCUAUGGGGAAAGACAAGAUGAGCAAAUCAAAAUCUUCAGGAGCUCCAAUAGUUCUUUCUUACUUUCCAUUGAACUCCUAUCUCUCUCGCUUGUAGUAGUACUAGUAAUAGAAUUCUGAGGAAAGGGGAGUUGAAUUUGCAGAAGGUAUCAAUGGUUAAUUUCUUCAGCUCAAUGAUGUUAUGUGGAUCAGUUAAUUAAUGGGGCUUCUUGAUCAGUCAGUUCAGAGACCACACACCAUGGGGCAGUUGCUUAUGGGGUGGUGAUGGUGAAGGAGGAACACCACUCAUGUACAUAUAGUUUGAUGAUUGAUUUGUAGUUUGAUUGAAGCAUAUCAUGUAAGAUCAUGGGUCCUUUGAUUUUAAUUAGUAAAAUCCUGAUGAAUAUAAUUCAAGUGUAAUCCAAUUGUUUGAUUUGUGACUUGGUAAGAUUUCUUGUUUCAUGUUAAUCCUUAUCCAAAUUCUUGUGCAUAACAUAAUAUUUUCAAUUAUAUCUUCGAAUUCAAUAAAAAUGACGAAGAACAAAAGGAAAAUCCCUCAAAUUUGUAAUAAAAUACUACUUUAUUUUCAAAAUAAAUUCUCAAAACUAUUUUUAGUCCAAAAUUUAUUCUACCUAUGUUUUAAUUUGAAAAAUUAUUUUUUAUUUAUUUUUUAAAAUAGAAAACCAUUUUAAAAAAUAAUUCUAACUUACUAUAAAGAGCUGAACUUCAUCCCAUUUUUUUAAUAACUUAUUUUCAAUUAGUUAGAUGGAGAAGCAAUUUAAACACCAAAAAUAUGAGGUGAGCGGAGGGUAAUCUAGGUGCCUAUUGAUUGAUCUAAUGAAGAAUAUAUGGAGGGGCAGAUUAAAAAACUAAUAAUCUUGCUUUGAUGAAUAUUAUUCAAAUUUGAUCCAAUAUCAUAAUCCCUUUUUUCGUAUGAUCUUAAAUAUCUUAUAUUCAUCAUAAAAAAAAUGUUCUUAAGUUAAUACAAAAUGAUAUGUAAUGUCACUUAAGAUACUUAAAAAAUUCAUUAUUAUGAAAAUCAAAGCCAACUUUUACAAGAAUCUUAUCCUUUUCUUACACAAGAUACCUUCAAUAUUUUCACUUUUAUCCUAGCAUUCCAAACACUUCUAGAGAAUUUGCAUUCCAAAAUCAAAGCCAACAUUAGGGAAUUUGUCACCUAGAAAAUUAAGGUCUUUUUUAAUUCUCAGAUUUAAGAAGCAUGGUGCAUGUUUUUUUAUUUUAAUUAAAAUUGUUUCCAAUAAUUUUAUAUAGAUAUAAUCAGUCUUUGUGCUUGCUGGUCAUUGCAACCUCACAGCACAUGCCCACAUACUAAUAAAUAUCAGAAACUUCUUCCUAGAAAUGCGGGACAUGGCAAAUAAUUGAUAAAAAAAUGAGAAGUCUUCAAUUCUUGGUGACCAAGAAAAACUUAGGUUAAUGUUCUUAAGAAUUAUUGGGUGGUAAUACAAGAAAGUCCAAAGUUUUCAGGAAUUGAUAAUGACUUCCUCUGAAUAGGGUCAAAGCAACCACAAGAGUAGGAAGCAAAAGGGAACCAUCUGAUCAACAGUACUAUAAGUCGAGAACAUAGGCACACAUAUCAUUUGGUUUUUCUUUCUAUACAAGAAAAUCAUCCCAAUCCCAUUAUAAAUACAGAAUUAUCUUCACUCAAAUCUCAUCAUCAACCUUCUAUUUCAUAUUUUUUUGGACAUAGGAAGAGCAAAAACAAAAGAAAAAAAAACACGUAAAUCAUAAUGGUAUUAUUUGUUAAUCUCAUCAUACACAUACAAACAUAAAUAAAGAAAAAUGAAAUUUUAACAUAGUUGGUAAUUGAUACUAUUCCUAUGCCCACGAAAUAUAAUAACACUUAAGAAUCGACUUCAUCACACACGUAUGAGUAUAAAUAAAAAAAAAACAAAAUUUUAACAUAUUUGAUAAUUAAUAUAAUUCUUACGUUCACGGAGUGUUCCAAUACUUUACGUUUAAAAUAUUAGGCAUAAAAAAGAGAGGUACCAUAUGUAGGGACCCCUCCCUCUGAGAAACACGUGGCACACAUCUCAUAGUGACACGUGGCGCAUUAUCAGCCGGAUCGCCAUUACCCGGAUUUCUCUAAGAAUACGCAUGACGCGCUUCUCCUAUCCGGACUGCCUCAAGGAAGAGCAAACGACGCUUAUAAAGCAUAGACAUCCGGACGGCUUCCAUAAUGCAUCCGCUCCACAAUACAUCCGGAUAACCAACAUGGGCUAUCCGGAUAUGACUGUCCGGAUCAUUGACUAAAGUAAAGCAAGUCUUACACGCUAUCACAACAACCAGCCAUGACCCACGUCCCAUCACCUGCAGAGUGAGAGGACAAGAUGAAGUGACAACAAGUCACUUCCCACGAUCAUUCUACAUGAUCACUUCCUAUGAUCUCUGACAGCCGCAUCACCUACCACGGUUUCUGACAGCCGCCCGUAGGGUGAUAAUGACCCUGCUACCACCUAAUGUCAUCAUGACAACAUAAAAUAUCUUCCCACCAUUAAUGAGAGGAACAAUACUCCUGGAACUAUAUAUAAGCCUUCACACGAAGAGGAAGGUAAUCUCCUGAUACCUAGUAAAAGGCCAAUUGAUUUAUAUCUCUCUUUCUAACCAUGACUAACAAAACCAUCGGAGGGUGCGUCCGGACACCCUGUCCGGAUGCCUUUUUGCAGGUAUAACGACUGGAUCAAGAACUUUUGUAGGUUGAGAAUGCGUGUCCAUCCAUUUGGCAACUGCGUGGAUCGUCAGGGACGCGAGGUAUCAACACCAUAGUGGGGUUAUCCUAUUGUAUUUGCAUGCACCUCAAGACCUAAUACCUUGUGGCAUGACUUAGGUUAGCUAGUAUAUUAUUUGGGAUAUCCAUGGUACAACCUAAUUACUUUGAUUUGUAAGAAUCUACAUAUAAUCUCAAUUGAUUUCAAACAAUUAAUUUGAUUUAGAAAAUUGAUGAGUUUAAUUAUGGAUAUUGUGUCAUACGACAUACCUUUGACAAAUUAUGGAUAAAUUACACUAGUAAGUAUAAGACCAUGAUUAAAAUUUCUAUUCAGACAUUUAUAAAAAUUAUGGUUGAUAUUUAAACAUUUUUUAUUUUUUAUUAAAAAACUAUCCUAAAUGAGAUUUAAAGAAGGUAACAUCACUGAUUUGAUUGCCUCCGAUAUUACAUUGUUACCUUACUUUUGUACUCAUCCAAGUCAAUUGCCCGACCAAAAUAAUGAUUUACUAUUCUUAAUGACCACACGACAUUUAUAAGUAGAUAAUGUGUCGCACCUUCUUUGAAGAUGGGUAGGCUAAGGAAUAUUCUUAAACCAUAAGUAAUUUAAGUAUUAGAAUAUUCAUUUAUAGAAACUCGGUCACACCAGUUAGGCAACAAAUUAUACAUUCUCAUUUGACUAUAAAUGAAAGUUAUAAUACCGUCUAAACAUAUAAACAUAGUAAAGAUAUAGUUAUAGUGUUUUAAGUUUUUUAGUGGAUAAUAAAGUAAGUUUUUUAGUGGAUAACAAAGUAGGAUUAAAAAUAAUUAUUUUUCCCAUUCAAUUGAUUUAUGUUUGACAACUUUUUCUAAAUAUUUUUUUUAUUAAAAAUAAGUAUAAUUUUGGUAUUUUUAAAAAUUUAAUUUAAGAAAGAUUUACUUUUGACAUCAUAUUAUUUCCAAAUAUAAAUUCGAUCGGAAAUUGUGGUUUGUCAACUUUAUCCACUAUGAUUAAAAAUUACAUCUAAUUUUUGUAUAUUUUUCAAAUUGAGACUUUUAGUUCAUAUGAUAGUGAUUUUAGGGAAUACUUAUAAUUUUUUUAAUACUUAAAAUUUUUUAUCUUUUAAGUAUGAAAAAAUUAAAAACACUUUUUAUAAUUAUUGUAAAACACACUCAUAUCCAAUAUGUUUUUUUUUUUUUUUUUUCACAUAUUUGAUCUACACUUCGUAUAAUUACGGUCAAAGACACUCAUAUCUAUUCAUAUUCUAUGUAUAUUUUUCGAAAUACUAAAAAUGCUUUUUAUAAUGGGAGAAUUACCCUUAAGGGUAGGCUGGGGAAAAAAAUUAUCGAGAAGGGUGGGUAGAUUUGAUAAUUCUUUUGAAGGCCUAACAUUUUUAUUAGACCAAUUUAUCCUCAAUUAAAUUCUAAAAUUAUAAUUUUUAAAGAAUAAAAGAAUUGAAAAAAAAGAGAGAAGACUGUCGUUCCAAUGCCUUCCAUUUGAAACCUUUCCUUUCGCAUGCUUCUCGUCAAAGCUUCCCUUUCGCAUGAUCUGGAUGUUUUCACGGUGGUAUGAUAUUAUGAAAGAUACCGAAUCUUGUGUAGGCGUGUACAGUUCCAUUGUUCCAGUGGUGACUUCGUUGAUGACUUCCAUUCUGCAUCAUUGUUGGCAUGUCUCCAUUUUGAAUAUUGUGGCUUCGACGACGUUUUGAACCACAUUUUUUUUCAUCAUAUCUGAAAAAUGUGAUUUUUAUUUAUUUAUUUAAAUAUGAGAAAUCUUAGAUUUUAGUUUCUAGGGUUCUUCAACCGCAUUUUUUUUUCAUCGUAUCUGAAAGAAGUGAUUAUUUAUUUAUUUAUUUAAAUAUGAGAAAUCUUAGAUUUUAGUUUCUAGGGUUUUUCAAUCGCAUUUUUUUUCAUCGUAUCUGAAAGGGUGAUUUAUUUAUUUAUUUAAAUAUAAGAAAUCUUAGAUUUUAGUUUCUAGGGUUCUUCAACCGUAUUUUUUUUCAUCGUAUCUGAAAGAGGUGAUUUUUUUAUUUAUUUAAAUAUGAGAAAUCUUAGAUUUUAGUUUCCAGGGUUCUUCAAUUGCAUUUUUUUUCAUCGUAUCUGAAAGAGGUGAUUUAUUUAUUUAUUUAAAUAUGAGAAAUCUUAGAUUUUAGUUUCUAGGUUUCUUCAACCGCAUUUUUUUUUCAUCGUAUUUGAAAGAGGAGGUGAUUUUUUUAUUUAUUUAAAUAUGAGAAAUCUUAGAUUUUAGUUUCUAGGGUUCUUCAACUGUAUUUUUUUUCAUCAUAUCUGAAAGAGGUGAUUUUUUUUAUUUCAUUUAAAUAUGAGAAAUCUUAGAUUUUAGUUUCUAGGGUUCAUUUAAAUUUUUUCAUCGUACGAUUUUAGUUUCUAGGGUUUAUAUGGGGUACCUAUUCACUGAACAACUGGAUUAUUGCGGUGUUAUGUUCUUUGAUUUGCAAGAGAAAUGGAAAGAUAGAGUAUGAAUGAAGUUUGAUUGCGUUAUUUAAAUUGGUUAUUUGGGGAAAACCAAUCUGACCUCUUAUUGAAGUUGUUGUAGUUAUUUUCAUUAUUUGUUGUAUGUGGUAAAUGAAAAAUGAAAGAAAAAAAUGGAUAAAAUAACUUAGAAUCUUAAUUUUUUUUUCUAGUUUUUAGUAUUAGUUUAUCAAAUAUGUUAUAUUUUAGAUGUUUUAUGUAAUUUGUAUUAUUUCUUUAGGAUUGCGUUUCCAAUAUUGUGUUAGGGAAUAUUGGACAUCAUUUUUUAAUGCAAACAAAAUCUCAUAUCUUUUUCUACAUUUCAAUUCUUUCGGAUUUAAUAUAUAUUCUUGGGAGCUGUCAGACACCAUAUUGGAUGGCCAGGGGACAUAACAUAUGAAAAAAAUAAACAUAAAUAAAUUAAAUUAUAUUGUAAUAUAUUGUAACGUUAGUGUAUUUGUAUUGUAAAUAUAAUGCAUUUAUGUUGUACCUAGUUUGUAUAAAUUAUAUAUGGUUUAAAAGGUUAGCCAUGAUGAGCAUUAACAAUGUGUACAUAUUGGAUUACCAUCAAACAACUUAAAUUUGUUAUCCAUUAAUACAAUGGCUCAGUGUGUUUUCAGUAGCAUGUAUGUAACUAUAUUUGGGAUCACUAAUAGUAGGUAAACCAAAAUAAAUAAGGGUACAAUACAAAUGCCCUACAUUUACAAUACAAUUACACUAGAAGUACAACAUAUUACAACAUUACUUGAUUCAUUAUACAUUUAAUUAUGACAAUUGAUUAUUUGAUAUAAAUUUUAUAGUGCAGUGUGGAGUAUAAUACAUGGAUAAAAGGCAAAAAACAAUACAAUACAACUAGUUUUUUGGAAGACUAUAUUCUCUCUUUUGCCAUUUUUUUGUAUGUCCAAGCUUGCUUAUAACUCAAUGAAACACCAUACCGACUCCUGAAAUCUUUGCAAAUUUGACGGGGCAAAUACUGAGGGGUUGCCCUUAUUACUUGCUCUAUGACAUGAGCACCUCUUCUUCCCCGCAUUGAAGGUUGGCUUGAACACUCAACAUCUGCACAAUGAUUGUGUACAUCAAUGAAGAUGUUAACCUUCAAAAUUUUGGUUGUGCCUUCUGAAUUAGUAGUUAUUUUCCAAGGGCACCCAUCAACUAAACAACACACAAAUAUUCUCUUUGGAGAGUUCUUUUUGAAUUUGUAUUGAAAUCUACCAACUAAUGACAUAGUAUAUAAUGCAUUUCUAAAUUCAUCUGCAUUAGAAAAACUAUGCCCACUCCCAAUAAUAGGUUGAGGACAAAGACUUAAAUCAUGUGGCCUAACUUCAGUUUCUGCACAUCUGGACAUGAAGCCUUGAGAAAGUCCUAAAUUAGACUCAUUGUUUGCUUGACAUGAUGCAACUGAAUUGUGUGUCUCCUUCGUACUAUUAUGACUGCAUUUUAUAGCACACUCAGUUAAUUAAUAUUAUAAGCACCUUGCAUCAUGGAAUUAAUGACAACUAAUACAAGAUAUAUCACUUACCAAUAAUCAUUUUGCACAUUGACUAUACCUCCUUCAACUUCUACUCUUCGAGUCCGUUUUAAUACAUAAAUACGAGCAUAAUAAUAACUAUGGGAUAACACCAUAUGCAUGUCCUCAUCAUCAUCCAACUGUUGAAGUGCAAAUGGAUCAAACUCAAGGGUGUAAUGAAAUGUAUAUCCAUUUGAAUUAAUAUCCAACCGUUCACAUGCCUUUGAAACAAAAUCAACAUAUGACAUCCCUUGUCCAAUGUACAUGCCUUUUUGUUGCCCACCCUUGUAUUGUAUUUGUUUGUCCUUCUUAGGUACAAUCUCCUCUCCUUCAUGAAGGUAGCCAUAAAUGGAAUUUUCCAAGUCCAUUUACCAAUUUAGAAGUACGUCUUCUUUCAUUGACAAUCAAAUCAAUCCAUUUCACAAUAUUACAACCAAGGAAAAUUUUACAACAAAUACAAAAUAAACAAAUGAAAAUUAUAAUCAAUUGAGACAUAUUUUAUAUAAUAAAGAAAAAUAUUUGUUGUAUAUUAGACAUGUUAGGGGUAUGCUAAAGAACCCACAAUUGCCCAAUUUCAUAAGAACUUUGAAAAUUUCAAAAUUUUACCUUAUCGUAAUGUAUCGUAAUGUUAUUGUAUUUGUAUUGUAAUUGUAGUGCAUUUUUAUUAUACCUCUAUAUUUUUAUAUAUAAAAAAAAUUAAUUUUAUAGAUUUUUUUUUAUCCAUCAUUGGAUUAUCAUCAACAAUUUCAUGUAUUGAAAUUACAAUAGUGUAUUUUUGUUGUCUUUUUAUAAUUUUGGCUUGCAAGGAUGCUUUAUGAUAGGAAUACAACAUGAUAGCCUAGAAAUGCCAGUUUAGUAAAAAACAAUUCAAUAUUUUGUCAUUUUGGUAUAUUGUAAUGUAUCGUAAUAUUAAUGUUUUUUCAUUGUAACUAUAUUGCAUUUGUAUUGUACUUAUACUUUAUAACUGAAGUAAUGGUUCUUUUACAUAACCUUUAAACUACUAGGCAUUCAACUCAUCAUACCAAAAUAAUACUUAUACAAAAAAGUAACAAAUUCAUAACAAAAAUAUAGUGAUCUUAACUCUUUAAUAAAUUCAUAAAAAAAGACAAAGUGGUCUCAUACAAAGGGGAUUUCAAUUUUCAAUGAAAAUCCAAAUAUGUUCAUAAAUACACAAACAAAGUGGUCCCAAACAAGCAUGAAACAACUGAGAACAUUUUUUCUUCAACCAUGUAAAAAAGUCUUAACAACAAAACUAAAGUGCAAACCUUUUUGAAUGGAAAUCAAUAAUAAGCAUAUCAAACAGCCCACCCGAAAAAUAAAUUAAAAAUAAAAACACAUCUUCAAUAUGACCAAAAUAAUAUAAAAAAAUUCAAAAUAAUAAAUUUAAAUAACAUUUUACACAAAAAUGUAAUUUCUUUCUCAAAACCUCCUUCAAUAUUUCAAAUCUAAUAUCUUACAUCUACAUUGUUAACAUUAUUAACUUUUUGUUCCUUCAAUCCGAUUUUUAAAUUAUUUAUUUAUUUAUUCCAUAAACUAAAGUUUUUUUUUUUGUAUUUAAAAAAAAACUUACUUUUAAUGUAUUUCUUGCUAGAUUCACACAAAAAAACAAGCUUUGUGUAAACGGUUUUAGAUUAUGACCUGAAGUGUUGAACCUUUUUCCUUUUUCCCUUUUGUCUUCUACAACACGGAUAAACUGCAGGUAGGUUAAAGAAAACUCUUUUUUCUUUGUUGUUGCUUUUCACUCUGCUAUUACUUUUCACUUAUUAAGGGUAGUCUUGACAUUUAAACAAAAUAAGAUCUUUGGAGGAAUUAUCAUAAUUUCACACUACUCUUCAUAAUAAUUAUCAAAUUUACCCACCCUCAUCGGUCAUAUUUUCCCCCAACCUACCCUUAAUGGUAAUUUUCCCUUUUAUAAUCGCUAUCAAAUACACACAUAUCUUAUAUGUUUUUUUGGAUAUUUGGUUGACACUUCCUAUGACCACUUUUAAAGACCCUCGUAUCCUACUUGGUUUUUUUACAUAUUUGGUCCCACCCUCUCUGUAUGUUCCCCGAAGCUUCCCACUUUCUCUAAAAAGAUUUCUCCUUAAACUCAAGUGGAACCAUGUCAUAUAUGAUUUGGCUUUCCUAUUUGGCUUUCCUUGCUCUGCAAGUAAAUCAAAUCCACCUCCAUUUCAUAUUUCAAAUCUGCACUAUAAAUAGGGAAGCAUCGAACCCUAAUGUUUCAUCAAGUAUCUCAAGCUUCCUCUCAUUUCUAGUUUUCUCUCAGGCGAAAGAAGGGUGAGAAAUGGUGGUCUCAGUCAUACUAGAUUGCGUUGUUCCAUCAUCUUCCUCAUCCCGGGUCGUCGACUAUGCUGGCGGCUGGCCUUCCAUGGAGAAACCUAAAAGCAAGUCAUCAAAAUCUUCAAGUGCUCCAAUCCUGGUCUUUCACUUCCCUGUUAACUCCUACCGCUCUCGCCUGUAGUGGUUGAGUUAAUUGCUUGAGGAGUGAGAUGGAGUUUUGUUUUCAUUUACAGUUUGAUGAGUGAUUUGCAAUAACUUCAUACAAGAAUAUUGUAUGCAAUGAAAGAGCUAUUUUUGAUUGAUUUGUUUUUUCUUAAGAUUUCUCCUAUAUCUUGUUCUCAGAUCCCUUUACCUUGUUUACCUCCUUUCCUGAAGUUCAGAUUUUCUUCAUCCAACACACUGAUAAGUGGCUCUGAGCCUGCCUAAUGACCUCGAAGAUCAAUGGGUUCUUCAUUUACUUUUCUUUUCGUCUAUGAGCAAUGAACUAGAGAUCAGUGAAUGAAAGAAAAAAAGGAAAUGUCAUAGAAAGUAUGCAACAUUGCAGAAGAAAAGAAGAUGAAGCUGUAAAUAUAUACGUAUAUUGACCAGUUGAUGACAAUUUGAUCCAUUGAUGAUUUAAUUUAAACCUUACCAGAGCGAUCAAUUGAACUGCUAUUAACUAUUUGAUUGAGAAAAACCAAGGGCAUGUUUCCCAAUGUGGAUCCUAUCAGUUAGGUUAGUUGGUCAUUGCGUGGUAAUAAAUAUCAGUAACGAAAUGUGAGACAUUACAGAGAAUUGCUAAAGAUUAGUGAAAAAUCUUUAAUUCUUGGUGACUAAGAAAAACUUAGAUUAAUGUUGCUAGAAGUAUUGGAGGUCAUAGAAGUAAGUCAAAGUUCUCAAGGAACUCAUGAGGAUGACUUCCUCCGAGUAGGGUCAAAGCAGCCACAAGGGUAGGAAGCAGGAGGCCAGGAACCAUCCAAGCAAUACUAUAAAUUGGGAACAUGGGCAUAUAUCAUUUGGCUUUUCUUGCUAUAUAUACAAGAAAAUUAACCACCCCAAUCCCACUAUAAACACAGAAUCAUCUUCACUCAAAUUUCAUCACCAACCUUCUGGAUCAUAAUUUUCUCGGACAAGGAAGAGCAGAAACCAAGUCAAUUACAAUGGUGUUUUCAGCCAUCUUGAGUUGUUUUUGGCUUAGUGAAGAGGUGAAAUCUAACAGCAAAUCAUCAAAACCUUCACAAGCUCCAAUACUGGUUUCUUACUUCCCUGUCAGCCUUCCUCUCUCGCUUGUAGUACUUUAAUUACGAAGGAGAGAUCACCUGCUGAAUCAUAAAGGCAGAAAUGGUUUAUUCAUCUGUUAUAUUGAUCAACUCAUGGGGUUUUUUAAUGUAUAAAUUCAUUAAUUCACGAUUGAUUUGUAAAUUAAUUUGAUUGAAGCACACAUAUUAUAUAAGAUUAUUGUUUCUUGAUGAUAAUUAAGCUAAUCAUCAUAUAUACCUUUCCUAAUUAUAGAAAAACCAGGGCUUGUUUGGAAACGGUUGUGAAAAAUAAUUUUUGAGAACAAGUUUUACAAAUUGUUUUAUAAUAUUUUGUAGAAAAAAAAGUUUAUUUAAAAACUUGAAAUGUUUUUAAUAUUUUCAAAAUAAUUUUUAUAAUUAUUUUUUAAAAUAACUCUAAAAAAUAUAAGUGAAAACAAUUAAAAACUGUUUUAUAAAAACACCAUAUUUUCUAAUUUGUCAAACAUAUUUUCUAGUUUUUUGUUUCUGAAAAACAGAAAAUUAUUCUCCAAAAGAAUUGCUAAACAAACUCUAGACUACUUCAAUCCUCAUUUGUAAUUAUCUUGAUUAAUAAUAUUGUUGUGUUCCUUCGGCUAUUACCAAUUGGCAACACUUGACCCAACAUUUGAUAUUAGAGUUCUAAUUAAUAUAUAAUUAAAAUUUUCUAAUUAUGUGUAAUUUAAUGAUGGGAUAUUAUUGAACAGCAUCAUAAAAAAAAUUUAAUAUUAACUAGAUUUAUCACUUAAAAUAUUGAUAACAUUAUUUUUUUUUUAUAUAUAUUUCAUCUAUGUCAUUUACCUUGAUGCCGUGAUGAAUACUUCUACUAUUACUUAAGUUGAUAAAGUCAAAAAAUAUUGUUAUGUACUGAGAGUGACUUUCUUCCUCCAUGGUCAAAGCUGGCACAUGCCAUAGGAAGUGGAAGCUCACGAGCAACAUGGGUACUUAUCAUUUGACUAAGAUAAAAUUAAUUAGGAUAAAUAUUAAUAAAAUUAAAAAAAACAGGUAAAUAUUUUAAUUUGAUAAUUAAAAAAUAAAUUAAUUUUAUCGAAUAAUAAAAAUCAAAUAAUAAGUUUUAAGUUUACAAUUUAAGAAUAAUUUAAUUUAAAAUUAAUUAAGUUAUUAAAUAUAAGUAUUAAAUUUUACCAAAAUGUCAUUUUCACCUCGUCUUGAUGAAGCCAUUAAGUAUUUAACAUUAGUCAUUGAAUUCUUUUUGGAUCAUUUUGAAACCCAAUGAUGUUGGAGAAAUGUUGAUGAUUUAUUGUUUGGUAUGUUUUAAGGUUAAAUAUUUAGGGUUCAAGGUUUAAAAUUACUAUUUAGGGUUUCAUUAUCUUUUAAUUCAACAACACUUGUAUUAUCAAAUAUUUGAAUACUUAAAGCUUCUAUUAUUCAUCAGUCUUUGAAAAUGAUGUGUAUUUAUUGUAGAGGCCACAACAAAAGCAGUAAUACUGAAUACUUCCUACUAUCCUGACCAGUUCUUAAAGUCCAAAUGAAAUGAAAAUCUUGUGACACUGAAAGUGACUUUCUUCCGAAAUAGUCAGAGCAGCCACAACUGAUGGAAAUUCAAAGGAUCCAACUCACAAUUUUCACAAGAAACAUGGUCAGUUGGACUUCAAUUGCUUUAUAUUCAAGAUAUUAAGUGAUUUUAGCACCGAGUAAAUAUCGGAUUGCCCUCAAGUAGGAUGUCUUAUUUUUCCAAAAUAUAAAUAAAUCCCCUUAAUUAGGAAGAAAGCUUGAGAAUCACAUCUAAUGAUAAGCAUUAUCCUAACAUAUUUAUUUAGUCUUCUCAAGGAGACUUAGUUAAUAUAUAUGUUUUUCUUCAUUGGUUUGGUCCCACCCUCUAUUUGUUUGUUCCCUAGAGCUGGUUAGACUAGUCAAAAUUUGAAAGGUGGUGUAAUUUGACACGACUUUUCUUCAAAGACAUGGACACCACAGCACCAAAGUUUAGUUGUUGGGUCUUUUUCUAUAGUCGGAUUAAGCCACUUGCUGCCACGAGUCUCACAGGAAGGUCCAGGGAAUUGACCCAUCUCAUAUAUUUAUCAUUUAUCUUUCCUUGCUAUGCAAGUAAAUCAACCCUACUUCCAUUUCAAAUCUGCUGUAUAAAUAAAGAAGCAUCUUAGCCUAAUAUUUCAUCAAAUAUCAGACACUUUCUCUCAUUUCUAGUUUUCUCUGCAGGCAAAUUAAGAAGGUUAAAAAUGGUGUUCUCGGCCAUACUAAGUUGCUUUGUUCCAUCUUCUUCCUCGACCCGAGUCUUCAAUGAUGCUGGUGGGUCUAGUUUGAAGGAACCUAAGAGCAAGUCAUCGAAAUCUUCAUCAAGAGCUCCGAUCCCGGUCUCUUACUUCCCUGUUAACUCCUACCUCUCUCGCUUGUAGUGAUUAAUUUGAUCGCAAGUUGGAGUUAGACUUUGAAGAGUACCAAUGGAUUAUUGAUUCAGUUUAUGUAUUAUAUGAUGGGGUUCCUCAUCAUGCAGUUGCUUGAGGAGUGAUGAUGGAGUUUGUUUUAAUGUACAGUUUGAUGAUUAAUUUGCAAUAAUUAGAUUCAAGAAUAUUGUUAAUUUCCUCCAACUGCAUGCAAUGAAACAACUCUUUUUAAUAUAAAGUUGGGUAUGAUGAUACCAUGAAAUUACCUGCAACCAAAUAAGACAUUAACCCCAACUGAACUUCCUUGUUGUUUCUCAAUUUGAUCAGUAAAGGAGGAAGUCUUAAAAAAGCCAAUGGAAAAUGACCCCACCAUUUUAGAGAAACACUAGGUGAAAUUUGAUCCACAGAAUCUUCUAUACAUAUUUUAAAGUUGUGAGUGUCUCUUAAACCUAUAAUGGACAAUAUCUAUGUGAGAGAUGACAAGUUAUUAUAAAUAAUAUUAGAGUUAAUUCUUUAUCCGUGAAAGUUUGUUUGACCUUGUAAAUGGUUUUUAUCUUUUUGUUAUCAUAAUUCUAUGCAUUACAAUGAGGACGUUGCGUCUUUCUGAAGGCCACGCUAUAUAUGUAUUGAUUUUUCUUCAUUUUAUAAGCAUUCUGAAGGCCACGCUAUAUAUGUAUUGAUUUUUCUUCAUUUUAUAAGCAUUUUUUAAAGUCAUGAGUGUUUAUGAGGCACAAAACGGAUCACUACAAAUAUUUAUAUAGAUUUGCAUUUAAAUCCAAUAAAAUAUUAAAGAAAAGACUAAAACGGAACUUCGGUAUUGUAACUACUUAUGACCUAGUAGUAAACCUGAUUUUAAUAUAUCAUAUUAGAUUAUUUAUUUUUUAAAUACAUAAAUUGUUAGGUAAUAGAUCAACGAUAUAUACUAGACCGUUAACAUUAUCUAUAUAUUUAUCUUUGAAUUGAGCAGCAACAGCGAUUGACAUGCUUGUUGGUGGGACCUAAUUCAACAAUGAAUUGUAUUAUCACAUAUUUUAAUACUUAAAGUUUCUAUAAUUAAUUAGUCUUUGAAAAUGAUACAUAUUUAUUGUAGAGGCUACAACAAAAGCCUCUACAAUUAUUUUUAAGAGAAAUUAUUUAAGGGAUUUUUUGUAAUAAGAACAUGAAAUAAUAAUUUAUUUUUUUUCAUAUGUUAUAUUCUAACAAAAAAAAGUCCUUUAUUUUUUCAAAAAAGCGUCUAUUUCAUAAAUUAAUAUUAGUGAUUUUCUAGAUUUUUAAAAAUUUACUAAGCACAAUAUUAAAAACUUUUGUAUUCUAGGGAAGUCAUGAGACUUGGUCAAGAUAUGGAAUAUGGGAUGACGUUAAGCCUGAGAAAGAAAAUAUAAUUUCCCGGAAUAAGUAAAAGUAGGAUGUCUAAGGAAGAAAGCAUGAGAAUCACAUUGGAUGAUUAGUUUUAUCCUAUCAUAUUUAUUUAAUCUUAUUCCAAAGGAGACUUUAACUAAUAUGUUUUAAUUUUCUUCAUUGUUUUGGUCCCACCCUCUAUUUGUUUGUUACCUAGACCUUCCCAUUUUUGCUAGAAGGUUUUCUUCUUCUGGGUCAGACUAAUCAAAAUUUCAAAAGUUUAGUUGUUGGGUCUUUUUCUAUAGUCAGAUCAAGGUAGCAGCAGCUGCCACGAUUGUCACAGGAAGCUCAAGGGAAUCAACCAUCUCAUAUAUUUAUCGUUUAGCUUUCCUUGAUAUGCAAGUAAACCAACCCUACUACCAUUUCAGAUCUGCAUUAUAAAUAGAGAAGCAUAUGUUAGCCUAAUAUUUCAUCAAAUAUCACACACUUCCUCUCUUUUCUAGUUUUCUCUGCAGGCAAAUCAAGAAGGGUUAAAAAUGGUGUUCUCAGCCAUACUAAGUUGCUUUGUUCCAUCAUCUUCCUCGUCCCGAGUCUACAAUGAUGCUGGUGGGUCUAGUGUGAAGGGCCCUAAGAGCAAGUCAUCGAAAUCUUCAUCAAGAGCUCCGAUUCCGGUCUCUUACUUCCCCGUUAACUCCUACAUCUCUCGCAUGUAGUGAUUAAUUAAUUUCACUGCAAGGUGGAGUUAGAAUUUGAAGAGUAUGAAUGGAUCAUUGAUUCAGUCUAGGUAUCAUAUGAUGGGGUUCUUCAUCAUGCAGUCGCUCAAGGAGUGAUGACGGAGUUGGUUUUCAUGUACAGUUUGAUGAUUGAUUUGCAAUAAGUUGAUCGAAGAAUACUGUAUUAGAUCUUCAUCUUGUUAAUUUCCUCCAACUGCAUGCAAUAAACAGUUCUUUUUAAUAGAAAGUUGGGUACGAUGAUACCAUGAAAUUACCUGCAACCAAAUAAGACAUCAGCCCCUACUAUGAAAAUUGAGAAACAACAAAAGAGUUCACUUGGGGUUUCCAUUGGAAAGAAUCGGUACUUGAAAUAUUGGCAAUCAGUGAUUACCAUAUGUAUAACUGCUAAGUAAACCCUAGAAUCAGUUAGGGUUUAUCAUCAUCGAAGACAAAGGUUGUUCGAAUCAUAUAUUAAGCAAAAACUACUUACAUUAUACAGAUGAUGAUCAGUAAGGGAAGAAGUCUUAAAAAAGCCAAAGGAAACUGAACCUACGAUUUUGGAGAAAUUAGGGUGUAAUUUGAUCCACAAGGUGAUGACUGAUGACUAGAUAUGCAUGGUGGGAUUUGCCCCAGCGGUCCAUGAUGAUAGAAGGCUAUUAUCCUUUUACACAAGCACUAAAAGAAAAAGGAUAAAUUAAGUCGCCUUGCUUUGUCCUUUCAUCCGCCCAAAAUUCUUGCAAUAUGCACCUCAAAUCAAACCUAAGAGUAUCAAUCACUCUCUUUCUCUCCAUCCAUUAAAAAGUAUUAAUUUCAAACUUGUGAUAUCUCACAUGUUGGAAGUAGAUUUGUAUAGGUUUUUUAAUUUUGUAGAUGUACUUUAAAGUUGUGAGUGUCUAUUAGACUCACAAGGAAUAAUAUCUAAAUGAGAAAUAGCAAGUCAUUACAAAUGAUAUUAAAGUUGAUCAUCGAUCUUAAUAUGAGAGUUUAUUUGACCCUGCAAGAGAUCUUUUUAUUUCUAUGAUCUUAUGAGAUACAACGAGAACGUUAUGCACUUAUAUGAGGGUGUAUUAUAUAUGUAAUGAUUCUUCUUCAUCUUAUAAAUAACUUUUAAAGUUGUGAGUGCGUAUGAGACCCAAAACGGAUCAGUACAAAUAUUUAUAUAAACUUAUAUUUAAAUCCAUUAAAAUAUUAUUUGUUAUAUUAAAAUAAAUUGUUGUUUUUUAAAUGAAUUGGAAAUAUUUUGAAGUGUUUGUUCAUAAAGAAUUUUGAUAAAUAAUUGAAGAUAUGAAGAUUAAUUGUAGGGGACUCGUGACACGUAUUCAACAUAUCAAAUAUAAUUACUGAAUAAACAGCCAAAAAAAUAAAUGUAAAAAAUAAAAAAAAUACCAGGGCACCAGCUGAGAGAUGUGGAAGGGUCUUUAUCGGCCAAGAAGAGGAUGAGAUUGGCCUUGUUCUUCGGCGCUUCUGAUCUGAACUUCUCCAGCACGCCGUCGAACGUCGACACAGUGGCGUCCACCAUUUUCAGCGGCGUAUUCGCUUUUUCUCAGGGGUAUUUUGGGAAAUCUAGACAAUAUCAUUGCUUGACAACAAUGGCAUUCGUCUGUGCUCCUUUUACAGGUUUUAAGCUAAAAUUUGCCCACCCACAGGUGGUGAAAUUCCUGAUAUGCCCUUCAUAUUGGAGUCACCAAAAUCUCCAUGACAUAGUAUAUCACAUUUAUGUCAAAUUUGGAGCCAAUGAUAUAUUUUGUGGUUUUAAAGUUCAUUAUAUACUUAGAAAGGCUUAGAAUACAAAUUUGAUAAGGUCAAACAAUGAUAUUUUUCUAAAAAUUUUUGUCCUACGAGGUGGGCACACAUACCUAGAAAAGCCUAAAUCCUUGACAUUAUGCAAUCUUACUUUACAAGAUGGUAGCAAAUAAUUAAUUAUUUUUCAAACACCGUAUCCCCUUAAAUAUUAUAGUUGGUUCAAUAAGUGGUAGAGUCAGGAUUUCAAUUAGGGGACUAACUCUUAAGACAUAUGUAAAUUUUGCUGAUCAUAAAAGAUGUGGGCUUUGACCCAAUAACCCAUCCUUGGCAUUUUCUAAGGGGGGGCAUAAGUUGGUUUGGGGUGGGAAGUGGAGAUGGCUGGUUUCACCCUUGGGUUCAGUCAUUGUAUUGAUUGAUCCAAUGAAGAAUAAUAUUUAGUAUUGACAUUUGCCUUCAUAAAUGAGCUUAAUAGUAUUAUCUUGGUGAGUGCAAUCCAAUAAUUAACUUGAUAUGUGUUUUUCAUAAAAUUUUAUGUAUCUUUUUAUAUUUGCCCUUUACUACCAAAUGUCAUUGUUCAUUUUGAAUUUUUUUCUUCUAUAAUGAAUAAAUACUUUUAAUUUAAUAUAAAAUUAUAAUUAAUCAUAUCAUUUUUUAGAACAUGUAGUAAUAGUAAAUAUGUGUUAACGUCUUUGAAUCCGGGACUCGCUUUCUAUGAUAAAAAGAAUAUACCAUUAACAUUAUGAAAUGAUUUUUGAAACUCCCACCAAUCAACAUUAAUUAGUUAGUCCUUUUUAGUUAGAGAGUUAAUUUUACUAAGACCCCUAGGGUGUAAAUACGUACACAUAACCAUUAUUAAUUUUAAAUUUUGUCACUAAGUGUCUUUGUAAAUUUAUUUUGUUUAUACAAUUUAUUUUUUAAAGAGAUUUUAAGGAAGUGUAAUUAAUAAUUUUUUGAAAAAUAAGUUUUAUUCUUAAAUUUUUUUUAUAUAUGAAAUACAUUUAUAGAAGUGCUAAUUGAUAGAAUUUGAAACUAAUGAUGGUUUAAUGUAUUUAUACUGAACCUUGGGAUGUGAAUGAAACUAGCCCUUAGCGAAAUAGGGUUGAGGAGUUAAACAUGCAUGGGUUGAUUGUAUUAAGGAUGAAAAGUACUAUUAAGUUCUUGGAGACCAAGCAAAACUUGGUUAAUACUCCUAGAAUCAUCAGGUGGUCGGACUAGAAGUCAAAAGUUUUGGAGGAAUUGAAAACGACUUCCUCAAACUACAGACACAAGUGUGGGAAACAGGAAGGAAUUAAUUAACCAUCUAAGCUGGGGAGAUGGGGACACAACAUUUGAAUUUCCUUGCUAUACAAGAAAAUUAGUCCAACUUCACAGUAUAACACAUCAUCAUCUUCAUUCAAAUGUCAUCACUACUCACACUUCAGCUAGCUAGCUCUUGGCUUCUCAAACACUCACUUCCCUUAACUUCUGAAUAGAAAAAUUAAGGAGAAUUAAGGGUGAUUCAACAAUGGUGCUCUCAGCCAUUCUAAGUUGUUGUCUGCCAUCAUCAUCGUCGACUCUGCCUCGGGUGUCCGAUGAUGGUGGUGGGUCAAGAUGUGACAUUAGGCAAUCUUACCUUGCAAGAUUGUGGUUAGAUUGUAGAAUAAGCUAGCUAAUUUACUAUUUAUCAAACACUUUUUUCCCUAUAAAUUGAACUUUUUAAGUUAACUUAAGCCCCAUCUAAAGUUAUUAUAGCUACUAAUUAGCAAUCACAUCUCCCUUUCUAAUGGGAUUCUUAUCAACCAUUUUCAGGUGUUUGAUGUCUUGUUUUUCAAGCAAUGAAGCAAGAAAAUCUCCAGAGAAGCCUAAGAGAAAAUCAAAGUCAUCUAGGGCUCCCAUUGUGGUCUCUUCCUUCCCUGUCAACUCAAAUCUUUCUUGCUUAUAGCAUGCUGAAAUUUGAAAUGUAGUUGGUUCAAUCAUGGUAUGGACUGAUCUAUAAUUAAUGGCAAUGAAGCCAUGGUAUUGAUAGUUGCCUUUGCAAAUGAGCUUAAUGUUCUUAUAUAUCUUGGUGAGUAUAAUUCUAACUAUUUGAUCUGUCUUUUGAAUAUGAUUUAUGGUAUUUUACCCUACUGCAUGCCUUUGCUUUGGUUACCUCCUUGUGUGAACUGCCCAAUGGUCAUAAAGAUUAAUGAGUUUAAGCCUUGUUACGUUUACCCAUGCACAAAUUUGUAAUGUCAUUCACUUUGAAUUAAUUUCUUGGUGUAGACGUAUGAAACAAAAACUCUUUAUAUGAUACAAAAUUAUAGCUCUUAUCAUUUUUAAGACACGAUGAUGGAGGACGACAUCAUUCACUGCUUGAAGACCAAGCAAAACUUGGGGAAUACUCCUAGAAUUAUCAGGCGCCACACAAGUCAAAAAGUUAUGAAGGAAUAUUGAAAAUGGCUUCCUCAAUCUAGAGUCAAAGCAGCCACUAGUGUAGGAAACAGGAAGGAAUUUACCAUCUAAACAAUAUCACAAGCUGGGAAGAUGGGCACAUACCAUCUGGCUUUCCUUGCUAUGCAAGAAAAUGAGCCCAACUUCCAUUUCAAAUUAAACUUCCACUAUAAAUAUGUAGAAUCGUCUUCAUUCAAAGCUCAUUAAUACAAACUCACACUUCAGCUCUUGGCCUCUCAAACCACUUUGUUUAAUUUCUGAAAGCAGAAGGAGAAGGGUGAUUGAUCAACAAUGGUGUUCUCAGCCAUCAUAAGUUGUUUUCUGCCAUCAUCAUCGUCAUCUCGGGUGUCUGAUGAUGCUGGUGGGUCAGGCUCAAAGGUGCCUUCCAUGGGGAAAGACAAGAUGAGCAAAUCAAAUUCUUCAGGAGCUCCAAUAGUUCUUUCUUACUUUCCAUUGAACUCCUAUCUCUCUCGCUUGUAGUUGUACUACUAAUUGCAUUCUGAGGAAAGGGGAGUUGAAUUUGCAGAAGGUAUCAAUGGUUAAUUUCUUCAGCUCAAUGAUGUUAUGUGGAUCAGUUAAUUAAUGGGGCUUCUUGAUCAGUCAGUUCAGAGACCACACACCAUGGGGCAGUUGCUUAUGGGGUGGUGAUGUUGAAGGAAGAACAGCACUCAUGUACAUAUAGUUUGAUGAUUGAUUUGUAGUUUGAUUGAAGCAUAUCAUGUAAGAUCAUGGGUCCUUUAUUUUUAUUAGUAAUAUCCUGAUGAAUAAAAUUCAAGUGUAAUCCAAUUGUUUGAUUUGUGUUUUGGUAAGAGUUCUUAUUUCAUGUUAAUCCAUAUCCAAAUUCUUGUGCUUAACUUAAUAUAUUCAACAUAUUUUCAAUUAUAUCUUCGAAUUCAAUAAAAAAGACGAAGAAGAAGAGGAAAAUCCCUCAAAUUUGAAAUAAAAUACAACUUUAUUUUCAAAAUAAAUUCUCAAAACUAUUUUUAGUCCAAAAUUUAUUCUACCUAUGCUUUAAUUUGAAUUUUUUUUUUAAUUUUUCAAAAAUAGAAAAUCAUUUUAAAAAUUAAUUAUAACUUACCAUAAAGAACUGAUCUUCAAAUUUGAUCUAAUAUCAUGAUCCCUUUUUUGGUAUGAUCUCAAGUAUCUUGUUCUUAUCAUAUAUAAAAAAAAUGUUCUUAAAUUAAUACAAAAUGAUGAUAUGUCAUGUCACUUGAGAUACUUUCGAAAUGAUAGAAUAGAUAGAUUAGAAUUAGAAACCAGGAUCAUAGAAAUAAAAAAUUUAUUAUUAUGAAAAUCAAAGUCAACUUUUACAAGAAUCUUAUCCUUUUCUUACACAAUAUAUUAUGAUAGAUCUUCAAUAUUUUCACUUUUAUUCUUGCAUUCCAAACACUUCUAGAGAAUUUGCAUUCCAAAAUCAAAGCCAACAUUAGAGAACUUGUCACCUAGAAAGUUAGGUCUUUUUUAAUUCUCACAUUGAAGAAGCAUGGACCAUGUUUUUGUAUUUUAAUUAAAAUUGUUUCCAAUAAUUUUAUAUAGAUAUUAUCAGUCAUUCUGCUAGCUGGUCAUUGCAACCUCACAGCACAUGCCCACAUACUAAUAAAUAUCAGAAACUUCUUCCUAGCUAGGUAAUGUGGGGCAUGGCAAAUAAUUGAUAAAAAAUGAGAAGUCUUCAAUUCUUGGUGACCAAGAAAAACUUAGGUUAAAGCAACCACAGGAGUAGGAAGCAGAAGGCAACCAUCUGAUCAACAGUACUAUAAGUUGAGAACAUAGGCACACGUAUCAUUUGGUUUUUCUUGCUAUACAAGAAAAUCAUCCCAAUCCCAUUAUAAAUACAGAAUUAUCUUCACUCAAAUCUCAUCAUCAACCUUCUAUUUCAUAAUUUUUCAGACAUAGGAAGAGCAAAAACGAAAGAAGAAAAAAGACACGUAAAUCAUAACGGUAUUCUUUAUUAAUCUCAUCUUACACAUACAAACAUAUAUAUAUAAAGAAAAAUAAAAUUUUAACGUAAUUGAUAAUUGAUAUGAUUCCUAUGCUCACGGAAUACAUCAACACUCAAGAAUCUACUUCAUUUGACACGUAUAAGCAUAAAUAAAAAAAAACAAAAUUUUAAUAUAAUUGAUAAUUAAUAUGAUUCCUAUGUCCAUGGAAUGUUCCGAUACUUUAAGUUUGAAAUAUUAGGCAGGUACCAUAGUGUGGGGUUAUCCUAUUGUAUUUGCAUGCACCUCAAGACCCAAUACCUUGUGGCAUGACUUAGGUUAGAUAGUACAUUAUUUGGGAUAUCCAUGGUACAACCUAAUUACUUUGAUUUGUAGGAAUCUACAUAUAAUCUCAAUUGAUUUCAAACAAUUAAUUUGAUUUAGAAAAUUGAUGAGUUUAAUUACCAGGCACAUAAACUAUUUCUUCCACAAACAUAAUUGUGUCAUACAUCUUAUGGAUAAAUUACACUAGUGACUAUAAGACCAUGAUUAAAAUUUUUAUCCAAACAAUUAUAAAAAUUAUGGUUGAUAUUUAAACAAUUUUUUUUAUUAAUAAAAAAACUAUCCUAAAUGAGAUUUAAAGAAGGUAACAUCACUGAUUUGAUUGCCUCCGCUAUUGCAUUGUUACCUUACUUUUGUACUCAUCUAAGUCAAUUGCCCAACCAAAAUAAUGAUUUACUAUUCUUAAUGACCACACGACAUUCAUUAGUAGAUAAUGCGUCACACCUUCUUUGAAGAUGGGCAGGCUAAGGAAUAUUCUUAAACCAUAAGUAAUUUAAUUAUAGAAUAUUCAUUUAUAGAAACUCAGUCACACCAGUUAGCUAGGCAACAAAUCAUACAUUCUCAUUUGACUAUAAAUGAAAGUUAUAAUAGCUUCUAAACAUAUAUAUAUAUAUAUAUAUAUAUAUAUAUAUAUAUAUAUAUAUAUAUAUAUAUAUAUAAACAUAGUAAAGAUAUAGUUAUAAGUGAUGUUUGUUUUUUGGUUAAAUAGAAAAAGCCAAAUAUUUUGGUUUUUUCUAUUCAGUUAAAAGUAACUAAUUGACAUCAACCAACAUCAUUAAACUAAACUUAUUGAGAAUAAGUUCACUUUAAUUAUGUUGGUUAGUACCAAUAAGAUACUUUUAGCUGAAUAGAAAAAAUCAAAAUAUUUAGCUUUUUCUAUUCAGCCAAAAAAUAAAUACCAUUAUAGUGUUUUAAAUUCUUUAGUAGAUAACGAGGUAGGAUUAAAAAUAAUUAUUUUUCCCAUUCAAUUGAUUUGUGUUUGACAACUUUUUCUAAAUAUUUUUUUAUAUUAAAAAUAAGUGUAAUUUUGGUUUUUGUUUUUAUAAAAUUUAAUUUAAGAAAUAUUUACUUUUGACAUCAUGUUAUUUUCAAAUGUAAAUUCGAUCUGGGGUUUGUCAGCUUUAUUCAAUAUGGUUAAAAAUUACAUCUAAUUUUUGUAUAUUUUUCAAAUUGAGACUUUUAGUUCAUAUGAUAGUGAUUUUAGAAAAUCCUUAUAUUUUUUUUAAUAUUUAAUAUUUUUUAUCUUUUAAAUGUUAAAAAACUAAAAACACUUUCUAUAAUAUUAUCAAACACACUCAUAUCCAAUAUGUUUUUUUUUUCCACAUAUUUGAUCCACACUUCCAAUAAUUAUGGUCAAAGACACUCAUCGCUGAUAUGGUUUUUUAUGUACUUAUUUCAUCCUUUGUGUAUAUUUUUCGAAGUAUUAAAAAUACUUUCUAUAAUCACCGUUAAAUACACAUAUCCUAUAUGUUUUUUUUUUUAAAUAUUUGGUCACACUUCCUAUGACCACGGUUUAAGAGCCUCGUAUCCUAUAUGUUUUUUUUUACAAAUUUGGUCCCACCCUGUCUGUAUGUUCCCCGAAGCUUCCCACUUUCUCUAAAAAGAUUUAUUCUUAAACUCAAGGGGAACCAUGUCAUAUAUGAUUUGGCUUUCCUUGCUCUGCAAGUAAAUCAAAUCCACCUCCAUUUCUUAUUUCAAAUCUGCACUAUAAAUAGGGAAGCAUCGAACCCUAAUGUUUCAUCAAGUAUCUCACACUUCCUCUCAUUUCUAGUUUUCUCUCAGGAGAAAGAAGGGUGAAAAAUGGUGGUCUCAGCCAUACUAGAUUGCGUUGUUCCAUCAUCUUCCUCAUCCCAGGUCGUCGACUAUGCUGGUGGCUGGCCUUCCAUGGAGAAACCUAAGAGCAAGUCAUCAAAAUCUUCAAGGCUCCAAUCCUGGUCUUUCACUUCCCUGUUAACUCCUACCACUCUCGCCUGUAGUGGUUGAGUUAAUUGCUUGAGGAGUGAGAUGGAGUUUUGUUUUCAUUUACAGUUUGAUGAGUGAUUUGCAAUAACUUCAUACAAGAAUAUUGUAUGCAAUGAAAGAGCUAUUUUUGAUUGAAUGUUGGGUAUGUUUGAUGCCAUGAAAUUAAUUACCAGCAACCAAACAAGACAUGGAACCCUAGUUUGAAAAUUCAGAAACUAACAACAAAAGUUCAGUUGGGUAAUGAAUAGCAGUCAGUGAUGGCAUAUGGGUAAUAGUUAAUUAGAGUCACUAUUAAUUCAGGGUUUAGAGUUUAAAGUUUAUACUUAGUUGUUGGACACACAUAAAGAUCUAUAAAGAAUUCUUAAAAAAUCAUUUAAAAAUAAAUAAAACAAUAAGUUAUUUUAAUAUAAGAAAAAUUUUAAAAUGAUUAAUUUUUUUUAUAAUCAUUUUAAAAUUUAAAUAUUUUUAAUUUAUUUUUAAGCUUUUAAAAUGAGAAAAUAUCAAUUCUCGGAAAUUUUAAAACACUACAAAUAAUGUAAAUUGUUGGUGAUCGGAGAGCAAACUCCAACAUUAAAGACCUUUUCUCACUGAAGAUACUCUCUUUCCACACAAUGGUUGUUUUUUUUAACAGACUUGCCUAUUAAAAAAGGGUCAAACACCAUGUUGACAAAGGGGAGACUAAUGAUCUAAAAACUAAAAACAUUUUGUGCUGAAAAGCCCAGGAGAGGACUAAGCCAAAAAUUAAAUAUUUGGAAAGGGGAAAAUUUUAGGGGAUAUGUUGGAUAUCAAAUUUGUAAUCUUGGUAGUCAUUUGAAAUAUAUAAUGAAAUAUAAGUUGUUUGAUAUUUAUAGUUAUUUUCAUGAAUAAUGAUGGUCAUGAGGUCUUUUUGCGACGUCUAGGAAGCAAGCACGUGGAGUUAAAUAAGCAAAGUUGCAUGAGGCUUGGGGGUGCAAGCCUAUUUCGAUCAAUCCAAAGUUUGAGGCUGAUCGAGGGAAUUAGAGAUAUUCAAAUGAGUUCAAAUAUAUACAUAUUUUUAAAUUAUGUACUCAUUGAGGAUUAAUUUCAUACAUUUUCAAAAGAUUUGGAUGCCGUUUUCCUAGUUGAAAAUUUUGAAAUUUUUUUAAUGGAAAAUAAGAAAAAUGUUGAAAGAGCUUAUGUAACAUUUUUCCAAAAUACUACACUAGGAGGACACCACCUUAUAACUUGAUGUCAUUUUCCCAUUCCCUGGUGUCAUUUUGUGCUGAAGAUGAGCUAUGUACACCCCAAAAAAUGGCAAGGUCACUUUAUGCUCUACUACCAUUCCUCACUCCCUGCCACCAUUUCAUGCUAAAACUCCAAGACAAUAUGAGCCCACCAUUUUUGGACCUUUCGAGUUCACCAUUGGAUCUCUUAUAUUGUUUUUGAUACGUUAACGAGGUACUUAUGACACAUGGGAACACCUAUAUAAAGCCAUUUUGCAGUUAAUGAAGGGGGCGCCUUUGAGGAGAGCCUUUGGGCUACUAGCUUGGGGAGGAGACCAGCUUGUUCCAGCUUGCAUGCUUUAUUUGCUCGACGCUUUGCUCAUUUUAGUAAUUUGGUAAAGUUUUGAACUCACUGCUCUUGAUUAUACUUGAUUGUAACUACCAUUAAUAUUUGGUUUUGAAGUUGAAUUUGAAUGAUUGUAAUAGGUACUUUCUUAUGCUCUGAUUUUGUUCUUCACUUUGGUUAUAUUUUUGUGGCUUUUGAGUAGUAGUUUAGGUUGAGGAGAAGGGGGUUCUUAGGACCUCCAUUGUGUUUAUGAAAUGGACUCUUAAAUUCUAAGUGUUUGAUGAUACAGUCAGCAUGUGAGCUUUGUUUUUAAUUAGAAUAUCAAUAUUCCUUAAUAUUUGAAAAUUGAAGUUUGGGGGACCCUUAAGGGUAUCUUAAGUACUUAAUGGUUGAAAGUCAUUUUGACUUGAAAUGACUGUUAUUGAACCUCUAAUUAUUUGAUAACAAAUGGUAGUGGAAGCUUCAAUGUGAUAUCAUAUGGAGUUUCAAUUCACAAGUAUGAGACAUUGGGUUUGAUUAAAAUGUGCUUGUGUUGCAAAUCCUCUAACUAAGAAUACCUAUUGGUGACCUUAAUUGUGUCAAUUUCAUUAAGGGCUAUUUCAUGAAAACAAAGGAGUUCCAAGAGAUCUCCUAAUCCUUGACACUUUUUUAGCCUCCUGUUAAUAAUCUUUCCAAUUCCAUUGCACACCUAACAUCUUUUUCCUUUGGUUUGACUCUCUGACUCAUGGAGAUAUUAAAAUGGCAAUGUACUCCUUAUUGUUACAUACGCAUUACGAAGGAUGAAAAGUAUCCAAUUCUUGAAGACCAGGCAAAACUUGGUGAAUACUCCUAGAAGUAUCAGGUGGGUAACAUUAGAAGUCAAAAAGUUGUGAGAAACGGAAUUGAAAAUGACUUCCUCAAACUACGGUCAAAGCAGCCACAGGUACGUAGGAAACAGGAAGGAAUUUACCAUCUAAACAAAAUCACAAGCUGGGAAGAGGGGCAUGUACCAUCUGGCUUUCCUUGCUAUGCAAGCAAAUUAGCCCAACUUCCAUUAACUCCACUAUAAAUAAAGAACCAUCUUCAUUCAAAUCUCAUCACUACUUACACUUCAGGUAGCUCUUGGCCUCUCAAACCACUCACUUUCCUUGACUUCUGAUCAAAAGAAAAUAGGGAGAAUCAAGGGUGAUUCAACAAUGGUGUUCUCAGGCAUUUUAAGUUGUUUUCUGCUAUCAUCAUCAUCUUCAUCGCCUCGGGCGUCCGAUGAUGCUGGUGUGUUAAGCCCAAAGAAGCCUUCCACGGUGAAAGACAAGAGCAAAUCAAAAUCUUCGGGAGCUCCAAUUGUGGUGUCUUACUUCCCAGUGAACUCCAAUCUCUCUCGCUUGUAGUAGUACUAACUGAAUUGUAAGGAAAGAGGAGUUGAAUUCAAGAAGGGUACCAAUGGUGUUUAUUAAGUUCAAUGGUGUUAUGUGGAUCAGUUAAUGGGGUUUCUUGAUCAGCCAGUUGAGAAACCAGACCCUGGCGCAGUUGGUCAGGGAAGAAUAACACUGAAAAUAGUAAUAUCAGUUGUAUAUAUAGUUUGAUGAUUGGUUUUUAAUUUGAUUAAAGCAUGCAUAUGGUAUAAGAUCAUGGUUUCUUGAUUUGUUUUUUCUUAAGAUUUCUCCUAUAUCUUGUUCUCAGAUCCCUUUACCUUGUUUACCUCCUUUUCUGAAGUUCAGAUUUUCUUCAUCCAACACACUGAUAAGUGGCUCUGAGCCUGCCUAAUGACCUUGAAGAUCAAUGGGUUCUUCAUUUACUUUUCUUUUCGUCUAUGAGCAAUGAACUAGAGAUCAGUGAAUGAAAGAAAAAAAGGAAAUCUCAUAGAAAGUAUGCAACAUUGCUGAAGAAAAGAAGAUGAAGCUGUGAAUAUAUACGUAUAUUGAUCAGUUGAUGACAAUUCGAUCUAUUGAAGAUUUAAUUUAAACCUUACCAGAGCGAUCAAUUGAACUGCUAUUAACUAUUUGCUUGAGAAAAAACAAGGGCAUGUUUCCCAAUGUGGAUCCUAUCAGUUAGGUUACCUGGCCAUUUCAUGCUAAUAAAUAUCAGUAACAAAAUGUGAGGCAUUACAGAGAAUUGCUAAAGAUUAGUGAAAAGUCUUCAAUUCUUGGUGAGUAAGAAAAACUUAGAUUAAUGUUGCUAGAAGUAUUGGAGGUCAUAGAAGUAAGUCAAAGUUCUCAAGGAACUCAUGAGGAUGAAUUCCUCCGAGUAGGGUCAAAGCAGCCACAAGGGUAGGAAGCAGGAGGCCAGGAACCAUCCGAGCAAUACUAUAAUUUUCUCGGACUUGGGCAUAUAUCAUUUGGCUUUUCUUGUUAUGUAUACAAGAAAAUUAACCACCCCAAUCCCACUAUAAACACAGAAUCAUCUUCACUCAAAUUUCAUCAUCAACCUUCUGGAUCAUAAUUUUCUCGGACAAGGAAGAGCAGAAGCCAAGCCAAUUACAAUGGUGUUUUCAACCAUCUUGAGUUGUUUCUCGCUUAGUGAACUGGUGAAAUCUAACAGCAAAUCAUCAAAACCUUCACAAGCUCCAAUACUGGUUUCUUACUUCCCUGUCAGCCUUCAUCUCUAGCUUGUAGUACUUUAAUUACGAAGGAGAGAUCAUCUGCUGAAUCAUAAUGGCAGAAACGGUUUAUUCAUCUGGUAUAUUGAUCAACUCAUGGGGUUUUUUGAUGUAUAAAUUCAUUAAUUCACGAUUGAUUUGUAAAUUAAUUUGAUUGAAGCACACAUAUUAUAUAAGAUUAUUGUUUCUUGAUGAUAAUUAAGCUAAUCAUCAUAUAUACCUUUCCUUACUAUAGAAAAACCAGAUAUUAGGGCUUGUUUGGAAACAAUUCUGAAAAAUAUUUUUUGAGAACAAGUUUUAAAAAUUGUUUUAGGAUAUUUUGUAGAAAAAAAUUUAUUUUAAAACUUGAAAUGUUUUUAAUAUUUUUAAAAUAAAUUUUAUAAUUAUUUUUUAAAAUAGCUUUAAAAAAUAUAAGUGAAAACAACUAAAAAAUGUUUUAUGGAAAUAUUAUGUUUUCUAAUUGUCAAACGUGUUUUCUAGUUUUUUGUUUCUGAAAAACGAAAAUUGUUCUCCAAAACAAUUGCUAAACAAGCUUUAGGUGGUAUUUGUUUUUUUACUUAAUUCUAAAUAGAAUAUUAAUACUUAUUAGUAUUAAAUAUUAGGUUGUUUGUUUUUAUAGUAUUUUAUUUCUAUUAAGUAUUAAAAAAUAAAAAAACACCAUUGUGUUAUUUUUUCUAUUUAGAAAAAGCCACAUAUUUUGACUUUUUCUAUUUAGUAAAAAGUUUAUAAUAAGUCAUGAAAAAGUAAAAAAACAAACAACCUAAAUUUUAAAACUAAAUGAUUUUAAGCAAAAAAUCAAAAAAACAAACACCGCCUUAGUCUACUUCAAUCCUCAUUUGUAAUUAUCUUGAUUAAUAAUAUUGUGGUACCUUUGGCUAUUACCAGUUGGGACGCUUGACCCAAUAUUUGAUAGUAGAGUUCUAAUUAAUAUAUAAUUAAAAUUUUCUAAUUAUGUUUAAUUUAAUGAUGGGAUAUUAUUGAACAACAUCAUAAAAAAAUUUAAUAUUAACUAGAUUUAUCAAUUAAAAUAUUAAUAGCAUUAUCAUUUUUAUAUAUUAUUCUUCUAUGUCAUAUACCUUGAUGCCGUGAUGAAUACUUCUAUUAUUACGGAACUUGAUAAAGUCGAAAAAUAUUGUUAUAUACCGAGAGUGACUUUCUUCCUCCAUGGUCAAAGCUGGCACAUGCCAUAGAAAGUGGAAGCUCAAGAGCAACAUGGGUACUUAUAUCAUUUGACUAAGAUAAAAUUAAUUGAGAUAAAUAUUAAUAAAAUUAAAAAAGCAGGUAAAUAUGUCAAUUUGAUAAUUAAAAAAUAAAUUAAUUUUAUCGAAUAAUAAAAAUCAAAUAAUAAAUUUUAAGUUUAUAAUUUAAGAAUAAUUUAAUUUAAAAUUAAUUAAAUUAUUAAAUAUAAGUAUUAAAUUUGACCAAAAUAUCAUUUUCACCUCGCCUUGAUGAAGCCAUUAAGUAUUUAACAUUAGCCAUUGAUUUCUUUUUGGAUCAUUUUGAAACCCAAUGAUGUUGGAGGGAUGUUGAUGAUUUAUUGUUUGGUAUAUUUUAAGGUUUAAAGGAUAAAUAGUAGUACUGAAUACUUCCUACUAUCCUGACCAGUUCUUAAAGUCCAAAUGAAUUGAAAAUCUUGUGACACUGAAAGUGACUUUCUUCCGAAAUGGUCAGAGCAGCCACAACUGAUGGAAAUUCAAAGGAUCCAACUCACAAUUUUCACAAGAAACAUGGUCAGUUGGACUUCAAAUUGCUUUAUAUUCAAGAUAUUAAGAGCUCGAUAGGUUUGCAUCGCAGAAACAAACAAGUGAUUUUAGCACCGAGUAAUACUUGACUUCAUUAGAAGAGUAGGCAUGCAACGGUCCAUUGCUUUUUAGAGCAUCAAUACAUUGUCGGAUUGCCCUCACGUAGGAUGUCUUAUUUUUCCAAAAUAUAAAUAAAUCCCAUUAAUUAGGAAGAAAGCUUGAGAAUCACGUCUAAAGGAGACUUAGUUAAUAUAUAUGUUUUUCUUCAUUGGUUUGGUCCCACCCUCUAUUUGUUUGUUCCCUGAAGCUGGUUAGACUAGUCAAAAUUUGAAAGGUGGUGUAAUUUGACAUGACUGUACUUCAAAGACAUGGACGCCACCGCACCAAAGUUUAGUUGUUGGGUCUUUUUGUAUAGUCGGAUUAAUCCACUUGCUGCCACGAUUCUCACAGGAAGGUCCAGGGAAUUGACCAUCUCAUAUAUUUAUCAUUUAUCUUUCCUUGCUAUGCAAGUAAAUCAACCCUACUUCCAUUUCAAAUCUGCUGUAUAAAUAGAGAAGCAUCUUAGCCUAAUAUUUCAUCAAAUAUCAGACACUUUCUCUGCAGGCAAAUUAAGAAGGGUUAAAAAUGGUGUUCUCAGCCAUAUUAAGUUGUUUUGUUCCAUCUUCUUCCUCGACCCGAGUCUUCAAUGAUGCUGGUGGGUCUAGUGUGAAGGAACCUAAGAGCAAGUCAUCGAAAUCUUCAUCAAGAGCUCCGAUCCCGGUCUCUUACUUCCCUGUUAACUCCUACCUCUCUCGCUUGUAGUGAUUAAUUUCAUGGCAAGGUGGAGUUAGAAUUUGAAGAAUAUCAAUCGAUUAUUCAUUCAGUCUAGGUAUGAUAUGAUGGGGUUCCUCAUCAUGCAGUUGCUUGAGGAGUGAUGAUGGAGUUUGUUUUAAUGUACAGUUUGAUGAUUAAUUUGCAAUAAUUAAUUUCAAGAAUAUUGUUGAUUUCCUCCAAUUGCAUGCAAUGAAACAGCUCUUUUUAAUGUAAGUCGGGUGCGAUGAUACCAUGAAAUUACCUGCAACCAAAUAAGACAUUAACCCCAACUGAAUUUUCUUGUUGUUUCUGAAUUUGAUCAGUAAAGGAGGAAGUCUUAAAAAAGCCUAUGGAAAAUGACCCCACCAUUUUGGAGAAACACUAGGUGAAAUUUGAUCCACAGAAUGAAGAUCAGGUAUUCAUGGUGGGAUUUGCCUUAUGGUCCAUGACGAUAAAAGCUUAUUAUUCUUCUAUGCAUGCACCAAAGAAAAAGGGAAAAUUAAGCCGCCUUACUUUGCCUUUUUAUUCUCCUAAAAAGUCUGCAAUAUGCGCCUCAAAUCCAACCUAAGUGUCUCUGACACCCUCUUUCUGUCCAUCCAUUAAAAGGUACUAACUUUAAAAUUGUGAUAUCUCACAUAUUAUAGAAAAAAAGUUUGAUUUUAAUCUUGUAUAUAUAUUUUAAAGUUGUGAGUAUCUCUCGAACUUUAAUGAACAAUAUCUACGCAAGAGAUGACAAAUUAUUAUAAAUUAUAUUAGAGUUAAUUUCCUAUCCAAUGAAAGUUUAUUUGACCUUGUAAAUGAUUUUUAUCUUUUUGUUAUCACAAUUCUAUGCAUUAUAAUGAGGACGUUGCGUCCAUUUGAAGGUACGCUAUAUAUGUAUUGAUUCUUCUUCAUUUUAUAAGCAUUUUUUAAAGUCAUGAGUGUUUAUGAGGCACAAAAUGGAUCACUACAAAUAAUAAAAUAUUAAAGAAAAGACAAAAAGGGAACUUCGAACAACUUAUGAAGAUCAACAAUAUAUACUAGACCGUUAACAUUAUCUAUUUAUCUUUGAAUCGAGCAAGCAACAGUGAUUGACAUGCUUGUUGGUGGGACCUAAUUCAACAAUGAAUUGUUUUUUUUGAUAGGAAACAAUGAAUUGUAUUACCACAUAUUUUAAUACUUAAAGUUUCUAUAAUUAAUUAGUCUUUGAAAAUGAUACAUAUUUAUUGUAGAGGCUACAACAAAAGCCUCUGCAAUUAUUUUUAAGAGAAAUUAUUUAAGGGAUUUUUUGUAAUAAGAACAUGAAAUAAUAAUUUAUUUUAUUUUUCAAAAAAGCGUCUAUUUCAUAAAUUAAUUUUAGUGAUUUUCUAGAUUUUUAAAAAUUUACUGAGCACAAUAUUAAAAACUUUUGUAUUCUAGGGAAGUCAUGAGACUUGGUCAAGAUAUGGAAUAUGGGAUGACGUUAAGCCUGAGAAAGAAAAUAUAAUUUCCCGGAAAGUAAAAGUAGGAUGUCUAAGGAAGAAAGCAUGAGAAUCACAUUGGAUGAUUAGUUUUAUUUAAUCUUAUUCCAAAGGAGACUUUAGCUAAUAUGUUUUAAUUUUCUUCAUUGUUUUGGUCCCACCCUCUAUUUGUUUGUUGCCUAGAGCUUCCCAUUUUUGCUGAAAGGUUUUCUUCUUCUGUGUCAGACUAAUCAAAAUUUCAAAGGUGGUGUAAUUUGACACGACUUUCUUCAAAGAUUCGGGCCCUAGUGUACAAAAGCUUAGUUGUCGGGUCUUUUUCUAUAGUCAAAUGACUCAGAUCAAGGUAGCAGCAGCUGCCACGAUUGUCACAGGAAGCUCAAGGGAAUCAACCAUCUGAGAUAUUUAUAGUUUAGCUUUCCUUGAUAUGCAAGUAAACCAACCCUACUUCCAUUUCAGAUCUGCAUUAUAAAUAGAGAAGCAUAUGUUAGCCUAAUAUUUCAUCAAAUAUCACACACUUUCUCUCUUUUCUAGUUUUCUGAUCAGGCAAAUUAAGAAGGGUUAAAAAUGGUGUUCUCAGCCAUACUAAGUUGCUUUGUUCCAUCAUCUUCCUCGUCCCGAGUCUACAAUGAUGCUGGUGGGUCUAGUGUGAAGGGACCUAAGAGCAAGUCAUCGAAAUCUUCAUCAAGAGCUCCGAUUCCGGUCUCUUACUUCCCUGUUAACUCCUACCUCUCUCGCAUGUAGUGAUUAAUUUCAUUGCAAGGUGGAGUUAGAAUUUGAAGAGUAUGAAUGGAUCAUUGAUUCAGUCUAGGUAUCAUAUGAUGGGGUUCUUCAUCAUGCAGUCGCUCAAGGAGUGAUGACGGAGUUGGUUUUCAUGUACAGUUUGAUUGAAGAAUAUUGUAUUAGAUCUUCAUCUUGUUAAUUUCCUCCAACUGCAUGCAAUAAACAGUUCUUUUUAAUAGAAAGUUGGGUACGAUGAUACCAUGAAAUUACCUGCAACCAAAUAAGACAUCAGCCCCUACUAUGAAAAUUAAGAAACACACAAAAAAGUUCAGUUGGGGUUUCCAUUGGAAAGAAUCGGUACUUGAAAUAUUGGCAAUCAGUGAUUACCAUAUGUAUAACUGCUAAGUAAACCCUAGAAUCAGUUAGGGUUUACCAUCAUCGAAGACAAAGGUUGUUCGUAUCAUAUAUUAAGCAAAAACUACUUACAUCAUACAGAAGAUAAUCAGUAAGGGAAGAAGUCUUAAAAAAAGAAAAGGAAACUGAACCUACGAUUUUGGAGAAAUUAGGGUGUAAUUUGAUCCACAAGGUGAUGACUGAUGAGUAGAUAUGCAUGGUGGGAUUUGCCCCAGCGGUCCAUGAUGAUAGAAGGCUAUUAUCCUUUUACACAAGCACUAAAAGAAAAAGGAAAAAUUAAGCCGCCAUGCUUUGUCUUUUCAUCCGCCCAAAAGUCUUGCAAUAUGCACCUCAAAUCAAACCUAAGAGUAUCAAUCACUCUCUUUCUCUCCAUCCAUUAAAAAGUAUUAAUUUCAAACUUGUGAUAUCUCACAUUGUAGGAAAUAAUAGCCUAAUAUUAUAUAUGUAUAGGUUUUUUAAUUUUGUACAUGUACUUUAAAGUUGUGAAUAUUGUUGAACUUAAAAUGGAUAAUAUCUACAUGAAAAAGAGUAAGUCAUUACAAAUGAUAUUAAAAUUGAUCAUCAAUCUUAAUGUGAGAGUUUAUUUGACCCUGCAAUGAAUCUUUUUAUUUCUAUGAUCCUAUGAGAUACCACAAAGAUAUUGUGUACUCAUAUGAGGGUGCGUUAUAUAUGUAUUGAUUCUUCUUCUUCUUAUAAAUAAAUUUUAAAGUUGUGAGUGCCUAUGAGACCCAAAGCGGAUUAGUACAAAUAUUUAUAUAGACUUACAUUUAAAUCUAAUAAAAUAUUAUUUGUUAUAUUAAAAUAAAUUGUUGUUUUUUUAAAUGAAUUGGAAAUAUUUUGAAGUGUUUGUUUAUAAAGAAUUUUAAUAAAUAAUUGAAGAUAUGAAGAUUGAUUGUAGGGGACUCCUGACAUGUGUUCAACAUUUCAAAUAUUGGCGAGUACCUAAGAUAUUUAUUUGAUAUUAUUCCAAAGGAGACUUUAGCUAAUAUGCUUUAAUUUUCUUAAUAGUUUUGGUCCCACCCUCUAUUUGUUUGUUCCCUAGAGCUUCAUAUAUAUAUAUUAGACUAGUCAAAAUUUGAAAGGUAAUAUAAUUUGACAUGAUUUGUCUUCAGACUUGGACGCUACAUUCCCCCUGUACAAAAGUUUGACUGUUAAUUCGGUUUUUUUCUAUAGUCAGAUUAAGCUGGCAGCAGCCGGCACGAUUGUCACAGGAAGCGCAAGGGAAUUUACCAUCUCAUAGAUUAAUCAAUUAGCUUUCCUUGCUAUGCAAGUAAAUCAACCCUACUUCCAUUUCAUAUCUGCAUUAUAAAUAGAGAAGCAUAUGUUAGUCUAAUAUUUCAUCAAAUGUCACACACUUCCUCUCAUUUCUAGUUUUCUCAGGAAAAUUAAGACGGGUUAAAAAUGGUCUUCUCAGCCAUAUUAAGUUGCUUUGUGCCAUCAUCUUCCUCGUCCCGAGUCUUCAAUGAUGCUGGUGGGUCUAGUGUGAAGGAACCUAAGAGCAAGUCAUCGAAAUCUUCAUCAAGAGCUCCGAUCCCGGUCUCUUACUUCCCUGUUAACUCAUACCUCUCUCGCUUGUAGUGAUUAAUUUCAUGGCAAGGUGGAGUUAGAAUUUGAAGAAUAUCAAUCGAUUAUUCAUUCAGUCUAGGUAUCAUAUGAUGGGGUUCUUCAUCAUGCAGUUGCUUGAGGAGCGAUGAUGGAGUUUGUUUUAAUGUACAGUUUGAUGAUUAAUUUGCAAUAAUUUGAUUGAAGAAUAUUGUAUUAGCUAGAUCUUCAUCUUGUUAAUUUCCUCCAACUGCAUGCAAUGAAACAGGUGUUUGAUGAUACCAUGGAAUUACCUGCAAAUAAAUAAGACAUCAAAACCAAUCUGAAAAUUCAGAAACAGCAAAAAAUUAAGUUCAGUUGGCCGGGGAUUCCAUUGGAAAUUAAGAAUCGGUACUUGAAAUGGAAAUUAGUGAUUACCAUAUGGAUAACAGCUAAUAAAACCCCAGAAUCAAUUAGGGUUUAUCAUCAUAUAUUAAGCAAAAACUACGUGCAUUAUACAGAUGAUGAUUGGUAAAGGAAGAAGUCUUAAAAAUGCAUGCCAAUGGAAAAAUUAGGGUGAAAUUUGAUCAACAGAGUGAUGAUUAGGUAUGCAUGAUGGGAUUUUCCCAAUCCGUCCAUGAUGAUAAAAGCCUAUUAUUCUUGUAAACAUGUACUAAAAGAAAAAGGAAAAAUUAAGCCCUCCUACUUUUCCUUUUCACCCCCCAAAAAGUCUCCACUAUGCACCUCAAAUCAAACCUAAAAAUCUCUAUCACUCUCUUUGUGUCCAUUGGUUAAGAAGUACUAAUUUCAAUAUUGUGAUAUCUCACAAGUAUAGAAAAAAAGUUUUUAACACUAUAUAUACACGAACUCCUUUUAAUCUAAUAAAGUCAUGAGUAUCUGUCAUACUAAGAACAAACAAUAUCUAUGUGAGAGAAAAAAAGUUGUUAUAAAUAGUAUUAGAGUUUAUCUUUGAUUUCGUUGUAGAAGUUUGUUUGACCCCACGAGGGGUAUCUGUUUCUUUAAUCCCACAAUCCUACUGAACAUAGUUAAGACGUUGUAUUCGUAUGAGAGUCUAUUCAUGUAUUAAUUCCUCUUAACCUAAUACACUACUUAUAAAGUUGUGAGUACGUAUUAAACUUAGAAUAUGUACUCAUAGUAGGUCAUUACAAAUAUUUAUGCGGACUUACAUUUAAAUCCAAUAAAAUAGUGUUACACAAAUAUUAUAUAAGUAUGAAACACACUCUCAUUUGAGUAUAUAUAUAUAUAUAUAUAUAUAUAUGUACACUACCGAAUAAUGGUUCCUUAAUUUGAUUAUAUGUCUAAACUAGACAAUUGAUAAAAAAAAUACUUUGAAAUGAAAUUGAUGUAAAAGAAAAUAAUGAGUUAUAUAAAGAGUAAUUAAUGCGACCUUUGGCCUUAUAAUUAAGUAUGGUUAAAUUACAUUUUUUAAUUCUCUUAGUAUGUGAGACCCAAAUUAUUGAAUAUUUUUUUAGGUUGUUAUUCAAUUGAUGAGAAUGACAAAUUUAUGGCUACCAACAAUGAUGUUUAUUAUUUAAAGCUACUCAUUUUGAAGAAGUCGCAUACCAAUCCUUAAACUAAAUCAAUUAGGUCUUAACUACUUUUUUAUUUAAUUUUUUUUUUGUAAUGAGUUGGUCAACACUGAAGCCUUAAUUUUAUGUUUGAAAACUUUAUUUUAAAUACACUUCUAUUAAAAAUAAGAAUAAUGUUAGUAUAUUUAAUAGUUAUUACUACUUUGGUCCCACUCUGGAUGUGUUCGUUCUCUGAAGCUUCCCAUUUUCUCUCGAAGGUAAUUUUUGUCUAAUGUCUCUCUAAGUUUUGAAAAGUUUUCUCAAAGACUUGGCCACCACAUCCCCCCUGGACAAAAGUUUAAUUUGGUCAAAUUAAGCAGCCAGAAUUUUCUCCAGAAGCUCAAGGGAACCAUCUCACAUAUUAUUUGGAUUUCCUUUCUAUGCAAGCAAAUCAGCACUAUAAAUAGCGAACAUCUUGGCAUAAUGUUUCAUCGGUCAUACUUCCUCUCAAUAUUUCUGGUUUUCUCAGACAAAUUAAGAAGGGUGAAGAAUGGGGUUCUCAGCUAUACUAAGUUGCUUUGUGCCAUCAUCUUCCUCAUCCCGAGUCUUCAAUGAUGCUGGUGGGUCUAGUGUGAAGGAACCUAAGAGCAAGUCAUCGAAAUCUUCAUCAAGAGCUCCUAUCCCUGUCUCUUACUUCCCCGUUAACUCCUACCUCUCUCGCUUGUAGUGAUUAAUUUCACUGCAAGAGUUAGAAUUUGAAGAGUAUGAAUGGAUCAUUGAUUCAGUCUAGGUAUCAUAUGAUGGGGUUCUUCAUCAUGCAGUCGCUCAAGGAGUGAUGAUGGAGCUGGUUUUCAUGUAUUGUUUGAUGAUUAAUUUGCAAUAAUUUGAUUCAAGAAUAUCGUAUUAGAUCUUCAUCUUGUUAAUUUCCUCCAACUGCAUGCAAUGAAACAGCUGUUCGAUGAUACCAUGGAAUUACCUGCAAACAAAUAAGACAUCAAUCCCAAUUCUGAAAAUUCAGAAACAAGAAGAAAUUAAGUUCAGUUGGGGUUUCCAUUGGAAAUUAAGAAUUGGUACUUGAAAUGGCAAUAAGUGAUAACCAUAUGCGUACAGCUAGUUAAACCCCAGAAUCAGUUAGGGUUUAUCAUCAUGUAUUAAGCAAAAACUACUAAUUACAUUAUACAGAUGAUGAUCUAAAAGGAAGAAGUCUUAAAAGCCUAUUAUUCUUGUUUCCACAUGCACUAAAGGAAAACGGAAAAAUAAAGCCACCUGCUUUGCCUUUUCAUUCUCCCAAAAGUCUCCAAUAUGCACCUCAAAUCAAACCUAUGAAUCUCUGUCACUCUCUUUCUCUCCAUUAGUUAAGAAGUACUAAUUUCAAUACUGUGAAAUCUCACAAAUAUAGGAAAAAAUUUCCUAAUGCUAUAUAUACAUGAAUUCCUUUAAAUUUUAUAAAUUCAUUUUGAAGUUGAGUACCUUUUAAACUUAGAACGAGAACAAGUUGUUAUAAAUAGUAUUAAAGCCGAUCUUUGACCUUAUGUGAGAGUUUGUUUGACUCUAUAAGGGAUAUUUGACUUCUUUUUUUUUGUUCCACAAACUUAUGAAACAUAAUGAAAACAUUGUAUUUGUAUGAGAAUAUGUUAUUUAUGUAUGGACUUCUCUUAACCUGGUAUGAAACUUUUGAAGUUAUGAGUAUUUAUUGAACUCCGAGUAAGUUAUUAUAAAUAUUUAUGCAGACUUAUAUUCAAAUCCAGUAAAAUAGUGGGGAAAAGAUAAAAAACAUAACUUCAAUAUUAUUUGUUACACUUUUGGACUCAUGACCUCCUAUUGCAUAAACCUGAUUUUAAUAUACCAUCUUAAGUUAUUAAUUUUUUUAAAUACAUAAAUUGUUAGGUAAUAGACUAGUGAUGUAUCGGCUCUAACAUGUUGGACUUAUCUUUAAAUUGAACAUGUCCAACAUACUUGUUAGUGGAACCUAAUUAAUUGUUCAUUUGAAAGUGUCUUUUCCAUUCAUCUAAAACGUGCACAGUAAAUUCACAAACCCACCAAACUUGAUGGAACCAUUGGCUGAACAUACCAACUAUAUGUUAGCUAGCUUGCUCUUCCUUUCUCUACAUGGUAAGUAACAAAGGGGUAUUUAAUGUUUUAAUUAAAGUCAUUAAAUUUGGUAACUUCGCUGUUACAAAGAUCAACAACAAAAGUACCAAGAUUCAUAAAUAAGUUCAUCAUUUUCUUGUUCUUAGCAUUUGUAUCUAAGUGAAGCUAUGAAAAGAGUUCAAUUCUUUGUUACCCCACAAACCACAAUCAUUUUUCUUGCUAUUAGCAUCACUUCUAAUAAGUCAAUGUUGCCAUAACUCUUUCGGGUGUUCUACACUUUUAAAACUGCAUUGAUUUUUUUUUUUUUUUUUAAUUAUGAGUUUCUUUGUUCUCUAAAAUAUGGGUGAAUUAUACUAAGAAGUAUAAAUUCAGGAUUGAGAUUUAUAUCUAAAAAUUCAUAAAAGUUACAUUUGAUUUUUAAAAUAAUGCUUUUAGUAUUUUAAAAACUUUGCCAAUUGGGUUUAAAAAUUAGGCCAUUGAUAAAAAAAAUAUAAGGUUAAAAAAAAGAGAGUUAUAUAUAAAGUAGUGAGACCUUAUUUGACCUUACAAUUAAGUGUGGUUAAAUUACAUUUUUUAAUCCUUUUGGAAUGUAGAGACCCAAAUUAAUGAACAUUUUUUUAAGGGUGUUAUUCAAUUUAUGAGAAUGGCAAAUUUCCGGCUACCAACAAUGAUGUUUAUUAUUUAAGGCUACUAAUUUUGAAGAAGUCAACCACCAAUCCUUAAACUAAAUCAAUUAGGUCUUAACUACUUUUUUUCUUUAAUUUUUCUUGUAAUGAGUUGGUCAACCCUGAAGCCUUAAUUUUAUGUUUGAAAACUUUAUUUUAAAUACACUUCUAUUAAAAAUAAGAAUAAUGUUACCACCAUGGAUGUGUUUGUUCUCUGAAGCUUCCCAUUUUCUCUCAAAGGUAAUUUUUGUCUAAUGUCUUCCUAUUAUGAUUGUAUGUAAGAGUCUAAGUUUUGAAAAGUUUUCUCAAAGACUUGGCCACCACAUCCCCCGUGGACAAAAGUUUAAUUUGUCAAAUUAAGCAGCCAGAAUUUUCUCCACAAGCUCAAGGGAACCAUCUCAAAUAUUAUGUGGAUUUCCUUUCUAUGCUACCAAAUCAGCACUAUAAAUAGAGAGGCAUCUUGGCCUAAUACGUCAUCGGUCAUACUUCCUCUCAAUAUUUCUAGUUUUCUAAGGAGGGUGAAGAAUGGAGUUCUCAGCCAUACGAAGUUGCCUUGUGCCAUCAUCUUCCUCAUCCCGAGUCUUCAAUGAUGCCGGUGGUCUAUUGUGAAGGAACCUAAGAGCAAGUCAUCAAAAUCAUCAGCAAGAGCUCCGAUCCCGGUCUCUUACUUCACUGUUAACUCCUUCCUCUCUCGAUUGUAGUGAUUAAUUUCAUUGCAAGGUGGAGUUAGAAUUUGAAAAGAAUAUCAAUGGAUCAUUGAUUCAGUCUAGGUAUUAUAUGAUGGGUUCUUCAUCAUGCGGUUGAUUGAGAAGUGAUGAUAGAGUUUGUUUUUCAUGUACUGUACUUUGAUGAUUGAUUUGUAAUUUGAUUCAAGCGCAUUAUGUUAGAUCUUCAUAUCGUGAAUUUCCUCCUACCGGCUGCAAUGAAACAGCUGUUUUAAUACAAAUAAUUAAGACAUCAACCCCAGGUCGAUUUUGUCAUAAGUACUUUUUCAGGUGUUCUAUACUUUUUUGAAAGCGCGGACACGACAUUUCUUGAGAGAAUUAAAAUUAGAGUCAAAGCCGUCUCAACGCAAACGUCAUCCAUUAGAG